AGCUCCAAUAGCGUAUAUUAAAGUUGUUGCAGUUAAAAAGCUCGUAGUUGAAGUUCUGACUGCUCGGGUCGCGCGCUUUAUAGCAGCGAAACCGACAGUCAUCCGCUUGCAAAUAUAUGUCUGCAUUUAACCGUGUGGCUAUAUGAGCAAGCAUUUUACCUUGAGAAAAACAGAGUGUUCCAGGCAGGCUUGUCCGGAAUGCAUUAGCAUGGAAUAAUAGAAUAUGACUGAAGUCUAUUUAUUGGUUUAAGGCUUUAGUAAUGAUUAAUAGGAACAGUCGGGGGCAUUGGUACUUGACAGUCAGAGGUGAAAUUCUAGGAUUUGUCAAAGACUAACAAAUGCGAAAGCAUUUGCCAAGGAUGUUUUCA
rnacentral:rRNA from 1 species